CAAAAUACGAAGAGACGAAGGGCCUGAUUUCAAGAUAUCAAGCAGCACAAGGGUUUGCUCGAGACACUUUUUAGAGGACGAUUACCUACCUCCUGAUAAUGCAGGACGGUGUUUAU